rnacentral:rRNA from 1 species
CACGGGGGGAGCAAGCGUUGUUCGGAUUCAUUGGGCGUAAAGAGCUCGUAGGUGGCUUUGUAAGUCGGAGGUGAAAUCCCACGGCUCAACCGUGGACACGCCUUCGAUACUGUGAAGCUUGAGGCUGGGAGAGGGAAUCGGAAUUCCUGGUGUAGCGGUGAAAUGCGUAGAUAUCAGGAGGAACACCGGUGGCGAAGGCGGGUCUCUGGGCCGAUACUGACGCUGAGGAGCGAAAGCGUGGGGAGCGAACAGG